AUUGAACGCUGGCGGCAUGCUUUACACAUGCAAGUCGAACGGUAACAGGCCGCAAGGUGCUGACGAGUGGCGAACGGGUGAGUAAUGCAUCGGAACGUGCCCAGUCGUGGGGGAUAACGCAGCGAAAGCUGCGCUAAUACCGCAUACGAUCUAUGGAUGAAAGCGGGGGACCGUAAGGCCUCGCGCGAUUGGAGCGGCCGAUGUCAGAUUAGGUAGUUGGUGGGGUAAAGGCUCACCAAGCCAACGAUCUGUAGCUGGUCUGAGAGGACGACCAGGCGCACUGGGACUGAGACACGGCCCAGACUCCUACGGGAGGCAGCAGGGGGGAAUGUUGGACAAUGGGCGCAAGCCUGAUCCAGCAAUGCCGCGUGCAGGAAGAAGGCCUUCGGGUUGUAAACUGCUUUUGUACGGAACGAAAAGGCUCUGGAUAAUACCUGGGGCUCAUGACGGUACCGUAAGAAUAAGCACCGGCUAACCACGUGCCAGCAGCCGCGGUAAAAC
rnacentral:rRNA from 1 species